rfam:Aspergillus ruber CBS 135680 unplaced genomic scaffold scaffold00043, whole genome shotgun sequence.
AGCAUGUUAGCUCAGGGGAAGAGCGCCGGGCUCAUAACCCGGAGGUCCUCGGAUCGAAACCGAGACAUGCUA